UGAAUACGAGACGCUAAGGCGUCGAAGUAGUGUAUGUCAUACUUCCAAGAAAAGCUUGCACUGUCAUAGAUAAAAAACGCCUGUACCAUAACCGACACAGGUGGGUAGGUAGAGUAUACUAAGGGGCGCGAGAUAACUCUCUCUAAGGAACUCGGCAAAAUAACUCCGUAACUUCGGGAGAAGGAGUGCCUUAUUCGUAAGGUUGCAAUAACAAGAUCCAAGCAACUGUUUAUCAAAAACACAGGUCUCCGCUAAGUCGUAAGACGAUGUAUGGGGGCUGACGCCUGCCCAGUGCCAGAAGGUUAAAGAAGUUGGUUAGCAAUUGCGAAGCUGAUAACUGAAGCCCUGGUGAACGGCGGCCGUAACAAUAACGGUCCUAAGGUAGCGAAAUUCCUUGUCGGGUAAGUUCCGACCCGCACGAAAGGCGUAAUGAUUUGGAUACUGUCUCGGAGAGGGGCUCGGUGAAAUAGACUUGUCUGUGAAGAUGCGGACUACCUGCACCAGGACAGAAAGACCCUAUGAAGCUUUACUGUAACUUGAAAUUGAAAUUGGACUUUAUUCGCGCAGUAUAGGUGGGAGGCGUUGAUUAUAAUCUUGUGGGAUUGUUGGAGCCAUCAGUGAGAUACCACUCUUGUAAUGUUAGAUUUCUAACUAUGAAUCAUUAUCUGGUCAAAGAACAGUUUCAGGCGGGCAGUUUGACUGGGGCGGUCGCCUCCUAAACGGUAACGGAGGCGUACAAAGGUUUCCUCUGAACGGUUAGAAAUCGUAUCUAGAGUGUAAAGGCAUAAGGAAGCUUGACUGUGAGACCUACAAGUCGAGCAGGGACGAAAGUCGGUCUUAGUGAUCUGACGGUACUGAGUGGAAAGGCCGUCACUCAACGGAUAAAAGUUACUCUAAGGAUAACAGGCUGAUCUCCCCCAAGAGUUCACAUCGACGGGGAGGUUUGGCACCUCGAUGUCGGCUCAUCGCAUCCUGGGGCGGUAGUACGUCCCAAGGGUUGGGCUGUUCGCCCAUGAAAGCGGUACGCGAGCUGGGUUCAGAACGUCGUGAGACAGUUCUCCAUAUCCGGUGUAGGCGUUAGAAUAUUGAGAGGAGCCUUCUUUAGUGCGAGAGGACCGAGAAGGACAUACCUCUGGUGUACCAGUUAUCGUGCCAACGGUAAACGCUGGGUAGCUAUGUAUGGAGUGGAUAACCGCUGAAAGCAUCUAAGUGGGAGGCCCACCUCAAGAUAAGUAUUCUC
rnacentral:rRNA from 1 species